AGGCUAUCUGUAGCUGUGCUUCAGAAAAAUGAAGGAUAUGGCUACUUAUCCAAGAUCAAUGAAGCAGCAAACCUCUCUCCAGGAGAAUUUACAAUGGCAAU